AGUUUGUUCUUCAUCAAAUGUUCAUUGCCUGCCUUUGCUCAUUCAGGUUAAAGGUCAGCUGCCUUCAUCAGGCAAUAGGUCCACUCUCUGCUCUCACCCCUUCCAAACUCCCCAACAACUCUUAAGUGGCAGCAUUUAGUAUAAGCUCUUAUAGCCCCUUGGAAAGACAUUUAGUGUUAGGCACCGAGACCCUUAAAACUGUUCAUCUCAUUUCAUCCAAAAUGCCAUUUACUGUUCCUACCAUUUAGUCCAAACUGCAGGAGAAUCCUUAUAUAAGAUACUCUUUGUGGUAUUUCUUCUAGUGAACCAGAAACAAUCCAAAUGUCUAACAACAGGGAAACUUAAAAAACAAGCCAUGCCGAGUCCCCUGGUGGCUCAGUGGGUUAAGGAUCUGGCAUUGUCACUGCUGUGGCGUGGAUUCAGUCCCUAGCCCGGGAACUUCCACAUGUCCCAAAAACAAAAAAACAAAAAACCUAUGCUAUGUUCCCACUCAAUGGGCAAUUAUACAGCUGUUGAAACAAUGAGGACUAUGAAGACCAUGUGAUAAAAUGAGAAAAUGAUUACGAUGUGAAACACCAUGUGAAAAAAGAAUAUAAAAUUAAAUGUACAGUAAUGAUAACCAUCAGAAAGAAAGCAAAAAACUAGGUCAAGAAUUAGUGAAAGAUACCAAAAUGUGAGCUUUUUAGCUGUAAAUGGGCCCUCAGAGUGUGGAUAACUAUCUGUUUGGGUUUUUUGUUUUUGUUUUCCCCAUUUUUGGCUGCACCCACAGCAUAUAAAGUUCCUGGGCCACAGGAUCAAAUCCGAGCCACAUCUACAACCUAGGCUACAGCUGCAACACCAGAUCCUUAAACCACUGCAUCAGGCAUUGACCUAGCAACACCAUGAGAUGAGCCGGAUUAUUAACGCACUAUGCAAUGGAGGGAUCUCUUGGGUAACCAUUUUUUUUAAAUCCCUACCAAAUGUUCUUUAAUGUACAAAUACUACUUUCACCGGGAAAACUAUAUGUGUGUAUACGUACGUGCAUGAAAUUGGUAAAUUGACAACAAUUGUUCAGCUUCCUGGGCUCCUCUAAUUUAGACUUUGAAAGGUCCUAUAAGCCUCUUGUUAUCAUGAUAAAAAGGCUCUUGGGAACGGGUGCCUCUGGGACCCAGUACAACCAUGUUAGUAAAACAAAGUUUCUAUGGCCCCGAAGUCCUUACUCAGUUAAAGGCCAGCGUUUUCCUACCUGGAGUCACCUGCACUUGCAUAACUCUAAGGAGACCCCAACACCACCUGGAAGAUAGGAUUAGAUCAAUAUGGUUCUCAGACACCACUUUAAUCAAGUUUUGCUCUGAACAGUGAUGGGGGGGUGAAAGGUAGUGACUGUUUUCAAGCGAAGUCACAUGCCCCAAGGUGAACAGCCUGGGCUCCCAAGAACAAAAGGGCUUUCCUUCCCAGGGGAAUCCCUGCCUGAGUGCUAGGCCAGGACUGGAGGGAGAAUGAGCACAAAGGACAGGGCAAGCCAGGCAGAUCUGUGACCUCCUCCCAGUGCGAACUGGAACUAGACA
ensembl:lncRNA